GGUCCUUAACCACCAGAGCUCCGGGGAAGUGACCUUUGACACUCGUUCAGAACGGAUGGAAGACUUCAUUCAUGAUUGCGAGAUGGGAGAGAUGAUCAGAUGGUCCGCUGGAACACAGCAAGGUCAGCUGGGGUUUCACAGCCCUGGGGUGGGGGUGGGGGGCUGGGCAGGGGUCAAGGGUGGGGGCAGCCUUGCUAAACCGACUUGACAGGAUUCUGUCCAGGGUGGGAUUCUUGCUAACACAGGGCGAGGCUCAUGGCUCAGAGAGGCUCAGGGGAUCUUUGUCAGGCUCCGGGGCUGAGGCUCCAUUUCCAGUCAGGGCAGAGAUGGACUCACGGCCUGGGUCACUCGAGGACCAGGCUCGGCCAUACACACAGCACGGCCUGGAGCUGAUGGUGGUGUCAUCGGAGACAGGCUGAGCCCUGGAGAAGGCUGAGGGCAGUGGGCCAGGGGUUCUCCACGCGGCUCCUCCUGCCCUUGUGAGUCAGCUGGGGGUGCUUGGCCCCCCGUUUAAAACGGCAGAGUGCUCUCAGCCCCGUGAGCCACGGCGCCUCCCGCACUCCGUGGCCGGGCAUCCCUCGCUCUCUGUGCUCCUGGGGUCGGUUUCCUCUACUCCUCCCGCUGACGUGUCCGUCUCUGGGUGGGGGCUGAUGUUUCACUUGCUGUUUCUACAAGUGCUCCACAAAUAUUUGCUUCAGGGAUGGAGAGGGGACGCCAGGGGGGAGACUGGACCCAUCACACCAAAGCCAAGUUGAUGGCUUGGGCCAAGGGAAGGAACAAAGGGCCGGCCGGCGGGUCUGGAUGAGGGCGGGAGAUGGGGCAGAACCCAGAGGCCCUGGCCAGAGCGGGAGCAGUGGGAGGGGGUGGGUGGGGUCCCGGCGGGCGUCCCCCAGGUCUCCAAGCUGGCUGUCGGACAGGCGGCCAGAACAUGGCCUGGAGCUUGGAGGCCAUGUGGACACCAGUGUGACGCUGUGACCGUGACAGGCGACCCAAGGCAAACGGCCCAAGGCUCAAGACGCACCUGGUGGGGGGCACUGGGCACCACAGCCCUGGGGGCCGCCUGGCAGGCGGUGUCGCCUCAUGGAGGUGCCGUCUGGGGCCGUGUUCCCGCCGGCGAGCAUCCGGCACUGUGCCGCAGGGACUUUGCCCCAGGGCUGGGGCUGCG
ensembl:lncRNA